rnacentral:lncRNA from 1 species
GGCCAGUCUUCAAUCUAAGGCUCGAUCAGACGAUGCAGAGAUCCUUGCGAUGCUGAUCGAACGAUCGAGAAGCUGUUGGAGUCCUGAUUGAGAUGCAACUCCGAUGUUGAUUGGGUUUGAGGGCUUUAAAGGGCUCUGUGGACUAACAGAGCGCAGUGUGUGGCGUGGUGUGUUUGGCCAAGUACCCAGAGCAGCAGUAGAUCGAGAAGAGCCGUCAGAGAGCAGAGGCAGGGAUGCUUCAGGCAGACUAUUAGGCAGCAGACAGCAGAGAUUCAGAAAGUCUUCCUAGAGAGAGCUUUUAUGAGAGAGAACU